rnacentral:misc_RNA from 1 species
GGUUUGUCAAAUACUUAACGUAACGUAACGCGUUACAAAAAAGCUUGUGGCUCUUACCCGCUGCACCGCAUUGCCCCCAUCACCCCUACUUGGUGACCGUCACUAUCGCGUCGCUUGAUGUCCUGUCAAAUGAAAGUACGCAGUAUUACACAGCCACCGAAAACACGAAUUGACUCUAGUGUCAUUAUAUGUCAAAUUGAUAAUAUUGUAACAUAUUACAUAAGCACAACACAAAAUUUGUCGUAAAAACGAUCGCAUGCGCACUAUACUAACAGUCAAUCAAUAUGCCCGACAGAGCUCGUGAUACAACAAGUAUUUGGUCAGAACUCCAUGGAGGGAGCGAUAGUAGCGUGCUACCGUCCGUAUUGUGAACAUUAAGCGAAAAGAGUGUAGUGAGAUAAAAAGAGAGAUUGAGGAGAGGAAGAGAAAGAGAAAGAGACGAUCGCGCGAUUUCGCGCUCGAUCACACCAAUUGACGUAAUUGUGCGCGAAUAAUAAUAUCUUUUUCCGAUUUAUACGGUGUUCAUCCCCGGUGUCCGUGGGCAACAUCCGGCCCGCAAUAUUUGAAAGCGGCGCACGGCGCGGUCUCGCGAAUUAAUAAAUUAUAUAUAUCCGGUGUAAAUACUUAAUUAUCCGCGUGAACGUUCUUUUUUAUAAAUGACAAUGUCUUGUAUGUGUUCAAACAAAGGCCUACGUAAGGCAAUACUAAUUUUAUAUUUGUUUACGGCAGUGCCCGUCGCCAGCGGCGGAAUAGAAGAAAAAAUAGAAAACAACAAGAACCUUUCAAAGUUUUACAACCUUUUGAAAACUAACGAGAUGGCAUAUCUUAUGCUUACAUGCAGACCCUUAACUGUGUUUGCACCUAUUAAUCAAGCGUUUGAGAAGUAUAAUGGAAGCUUGGAGAACUUGGCUUUGUAUCACAUGACAAAAGAAUCUAGGAUGCUGGAGGAUUUUAAGGAAACUUUGAUACCCACCGAAGACGAUUACAAACCUUUAUGGAUUACUAUAAUACCAGGAAAACAUAACACCAUGGACUAUUACAUCAACAACGCAAUGAUCCUCUUCAACCAGAGCAAUGUUAAAUCAACGUUAAAAUACAAAGGCAAUACCGUGAUUCAGAUUCUGCACAUCAUAAACGAAGUGUUGGAGCCAGUACAAUACAACUCGAAUUAUUCGAAAGAAAUAUCGAAUUAUAAUCCAAACGCUUUUGACGUUUUAAACCAGACCGAGGGUCUCAAUUUGAGUGACUAUCGCGUAUGUACUUUCCGACAGCGGGUCCUCAUCGAACAGAAGAAAGAUAUCUUCACGAACAAGGGUUGUCAUACCUUUUUCAUCCCCGUUGAUGCGGGUUUCAAGACGGAGCAGAGGUUGAAUAAAAUCGAUCAACUAGUAAUUAAAGGUCAUGUAUUACCCAAAAAGGUCAUUUUCAUCGCGCCGACGCCAGAGAAAGUGCAGUAUCGGACCCUUGUGCACUCCAACGAACUGCAAGUCGUCGUCAGUUUUUCCAAAUCACAAAAUAAGGUCUACGUGCAGUCGGACACAUUGGUGGGCGAUGCGUCUCAUCAACCAGGAGUGGUGCUGGCGGAGAUAGUGAAAGGGAACAUUCCCGUAAGCAACGGCGUUGUUCAUCUAAUACAACGGCCGCUUAUGGUCGUCGACAGCACCGUUAAGGAUUUUCUGGAGGAAAACAAAAAUGGACCGGUGGGCAAAUUUUACGAGAUAAUUCACGAUUAUGGGGGCGAGAUUAUGAGUUCCAUCAGUCACCUAAAUGAUGUUACCCUGUUUGUGCCCAGCAAUGACGCGCUAGAUAAGACAGAUGUGAAAAAGAUGCUGCAGGACAAGAACUGGUUGAGAGAAAUCCUUAAACUUCACUACGUCAAGAAGCGGCUGACCUUCAAGGAAAUCAAAGACAAAGCCAUCAGGCUGGACAAAACCUUAAGCAGGAAGUGGUAUGACGGAGUGCCGACCGCCGCCUACAAUAAAAUGCUUUACUUCGAUGUGGUGUGGAGAUCAACGGAGAUUUCAACCGUCACCGUAGAGGGCAGCGGUGGAAACGCUACUAUUAUUAUCCCCAACAUCGCCAUUACUAAUGGGAUUGUUCAUGUAAUUGACAGAGUUCUUGGAGUACCCUCUACUGAUGUCCUUGACAAACUCGGGACUUAUCAGGGGCUCAACUUGACUCACUUUCUGGGCCAGCAAUGCGGAAUUAACAACCAAUUGAACAAUACUAAAAAAUGGUUUACCUACUUUGUUCCGCUCGACGAGGCCUGGACAAACCCGGAAAAUAAUGAUUUGUCAACCAUUAAGAAAGUCUUUAUGCCCAAGUACAGUUAUUACGCGAAGAAGAUAUUGGCGCGACAUCUCAUAAUAGCCAAUCAAACGUACAGAAUGACGAAACUGAUGGAAAUGAAUCUAAACUUCAAGGUCAAGGUAGAAAACGAAGGUUUUUCUUUGGACUGGGGGACUACAACUAUGAAAGUCCUCUAUCCAGAUAUUGAAUGCACAAAUGGUGUCAUUCAUGUGAUCGAUGGAGUGUUUCCUAAGAAGAGCGGUUUCCAAAUGACAAGCGGUGCGUCGCUGUUCACCUUUGCACCCCAAUUAAUCAUGAUACUGAUAAUUAACAAGUGGCAUCUGUAAAAAUUAUCAUCACCGCGUCGCAUCGUCAUAAAAAUUUUUUUUGGGAGCCGUCUGCGAUUGUACUCGAACGACGAUGACGACGCAACGCGGGAAGGCACAGCAGUGAUGCGUUGUCAGUUGCUGUCACAAAAGAGCUGCACCAGCACUGGAUAAAUACUGGGAGUAGUAUAGGGGAAGCCAUGAGGCGUCAAAACAAACCCCCACUCCUCGCCCUCACAGCGGGGGGUGUCUGCCCCCUUUCCCCCCCUGUCUGGGGCAGCCAUGGUGCAUCAAAACAAACCCGAACUUCUUUUUUUCUCGGCCUGAUGUCAAACCUAACCCCACUUUUCCUCCGAGUGGUGUCAAACUUAACCCCCUUCCCCCGUCUGGGCCUGGUGGGGAAGACUAGACGCUGUGACGUCACGAGUUUGAACGACGCGUUUUGAUUGGCACCCCAUGGCUGCCCUGAGCCUUGAAUGGGUUUGUGUCGUCACGAUUUUGAACGGAGGGUUAUGAUUGGAUACCCCAUGGCUGCCCCGAAUCUUGAUUGGCACUUCAUGGCUGCCCCAAGCCUUCAUUGGCUGCCCUGAGUAUACUACUGGAUUUUGAAUAGGAAAAAGCAGAUCUUAGUGCCGAGCGUUUUUACCCAGCGGGGAUGCGGCUCGGUCAAGUACGAGUUUUUGUAAAUGGGUCAAUAGGUUUAUAGGUCAAGUAUGCUUUGUAAGCGCGAGAGAGAGAACUUUUUGCUAUUAUGUAGAGAUACUUUAGGCACAAACAGGAGCUUGUAUAUUUCGAGUCUUAAAAAAAUCAAAACUAUGUAUUGUAAAGGAAGUAAAAUAAAUAUAUUAGGAUUAACUUUUGAAAGAAAAUUCUUUUACUAUUGUGCAGAGAUACUUUAGGCAUAAACAAAAACUUGUACAUUUCCUGUCUUAAAAAAUCAAAAACUAUGUAUCAUGAAAAGAGAAAAAGAAAUAUGACGGGAAUAACUUUUAAAAAGAAAAUUCUUUUGCUAUUAUGUAGAGAUACUUUAGACACAAACAGAAACUAGUAUGUUUAGAGUUUUAUAAAAAUCAAAAACUAUGUAUUAUGGAAGGGACUAAAAGAAAUAUGAAGAGUUACGAGUAAAAAAUAGUUUUAUUUUAAUACGCAAACUUUUCGUACAAAAAUACAUUGUAACUGACCAAAAUUAUACAAAAAUUAUGCUCUACGUUUUGACAAAAUUAUAUUGGUAAUUUCGUUACAACGCAGUGUAAUCAGUUCCAAAAAUAUUAUAUUGAAAUAUACGUCAAGGAAAGUUAAA